AUCCUUUUGUAGUUCAUAAGUGUGAUGAUUGGGUGCUCACGUUCUUGUGUGACAUUUGCCUCCCAUGAACCUUGUUAUGAUAUCAGCAUAUUACCGUCUGAUG